AUUGAACGCUGGCGGCAGGCCUAACACAUGCAAGUCGAACGGUAACAGGAAGCAGCUUGCUGCUUCGCUGACGAGUGGCGGACGGGUGAGUAAUGUCUGGGAAACUGCCUGAUGGAGGGGGAUAACUACUGGAAACGGUAGCUAAUACCGCAUAACGUCGCAAGACCAAAGAGGGGGACCUUAGGGCCUCUUGCCAUCGGAUGUGCCCAGAUGGGAUUAGCUAGUAGGUGGGGUAACGGCUCACCUAGGCGACAAUCCCUAGCUGGUCUGAGAGGAUGACCAGCCACACUGGAACUGAGACACGGUCCAGACUCCUACGGGAGGCAGCAGUGGGGAAUAUUGCACAAUGGGCGCAAGCCUGAUGCAGCCAUGCCGCGUGUAUGAAGAAGGCCUUCGGGUUGUAAAGUACUUUCAGCGGGGAGGAAGGGAGUAAAGUUAAUACCUUUGCUCAUUGACGUUACCCGCAGAAGAAGCACCGGCUAACUCCGUG
rnacentral:rRNA from 1 species